GGUUGCAUCAUCAUCUGACAUGCCAGAUUGUACUCUUAAUCCCUCAAAUGAGAGUGCCUCAAUCUUAUCCAUUGCCAAGGGAGCAAGAUCUUCUAGAGAUACAUAUUCUGAGCCCAUCUCAUUCCCUACUGUGCUUGACUUCAACCUGUUAGAUCUGCGUGCAGAUGAUCUCUCCUUCACAUUCUUUUGCCCACCAGAUAUAUCUUGCCCAAUUUCCAAUUCACACUGCAAUGAGCUUUGCCUCUCAGGUCCCUCCAGAGAUGCUGCAGUUUCCCAUGCUACUUGUUGCAUUGUUU
rnacentral:misc_RNA from 1 species